UCCCAGCCUGCCACGUUGAAUUGCGCCAAUAAUGGCGAUUUGUAUCUAUUAAAUUCUACUGUUGUCUGUUGUCUUGUCUUCGCAGUUUCAAGAAUCAAGAUAAGAUAUCUAUUGAAAAACCGUGCUUGUGAAAUGGCUGCCACCAAGGCAUUUUACAGUGAUUCUAUGCUGUAGUUGCUCGAUAGAUAAUCAAACAAACUUUUGCACCACAUUAUGAUGCGAUGGUACUAUAUGCAAUCAAUGUCUUGAUGAAUUUAGCGAUAAAUUUUUCCAAGCCCCAAGGCAAAAAAUCUCGGCGCAAUUUGGGGUUCCUUCAAGAAGAACAUACUCAAACUGAAUCUUGAAAUGUCAUUAUUCGCCUCCUGAAAGAGUACGUCGUUUAUGUAUCUCGCUUUAUCAAGAGUUUUCGUCUAGGCCUAAGGGUAUGCUGGUCAUGCCAUUUUCUUGCGAAUUUUUCAUAAGUCGAAAACUAUGAAAUUUAGAAAAAUUUUACGUAAGUCCUUUUUUGUAGACAAUAAAAAAAUAUGACCAAAUGUGCAAAAAUCUUAAAAUUUCAUGCAGUAGAACCUUAAAUUUUGAAAAAAUAAAAAGGUUGGAUUUUCGAUAAAAAUCGAUUCUACUCGUGUAAACACUGUCCUAAAAUUAUAUUUUGUUUUGUAGAAUGAAAUUUUCUUUCAUGUUACAAAAAUUGAAAAAUCUAAAAGCCUAGAAAAAAAUGUGAAGAAAGCUUAAAAUAUUAACAUUGAUUUGUUUUAUGAGCUGGGCGACUGUCCAAAGCUACUUCACAUGACGCUUAAUUGUAAGACAUUGGCUUUCAAAAACUUGUAGGUAAAAGACCCUACUCUGUCCCUACUGAUGAUAUUAGACAAAAAUUCAAGAAAAGUGUUGAGCAACUUCGAAGAACUUGUACAACAUUGAAAUGAUUUUGUGACAUUGCACCAGACUUUUAAACUGGAAAAAUUUACGUCUCUGAUAUUCUAAGUGACAUUGAAGUAGACUUCUAGAUUUUAAGCGUGAUUUGAGAACUGAAAAAAAGUAAAGUGACUUGUCAAACCUUCGGAAAAAACGCUGUGAUGUUUUGUCAAUUUUUUUUUCAUUUUUUAAUUUGAAAUUUCAAGUACUUACCUAUUGAGUUUACUUUAGCAGAAAGCAUAUUCACGAUUCAAAACUUUCCUUGAAGAGGAAGCUUGGCCCCCAUUUUUGAAUAGAAAUGAAUUUCGAAAAUCAGAUUUAUUCCUGAUCCAAAUAAAACAGCUUCAAUUUUGGUAUUUAUCUCAUUUUGAACCACCUCCCUCUCUUGAACGUUUGGAAACUGUUUCCGGUCGUUUUGAACAAUUCUGAAGCCUCGAGCAGAUUUUUGGAUACCAAAAUUUCCAUUGAAAUUUAGCUCAAUCAAAGUUGAAAUGCUGAAAUUCAAGUCUGAGUGACCUGAAGAUGGUGUUCAGCCGUUCUGGUCGAGCCUCCAGCAACAUUUUGAAAAUUCCAAUUUUCCAAAAAAAUUCUCUAAAAUCUGUCCACUGUCGAUUAAUAAUUACAGGGCGUUUGAUAUGUAGAAAAUCAGGUAUAAUCUAAAUCCUGCAGCUUUCCAACUUAACUUGGCAACAUUUUGAGUGAAGUUUGAACUUACAGAACUGCUCAAAAGGCUGACGAAAUCCGUUUUCAAUUCGUGGGGGGUGGGGAGGGGGCGGAUGAAUAGAAAAAUUUAAGCUGGCUCUUAUAGAUACGUACAUACUUACAUAUAAUACCUGUGACUGCAUCAAUAUCUGGAUUUUGGCUUUUAUGAGUAUAAUUUUCUCAAAAUGAUAGCACCUCAACAUGAAAUUGAGUCGCGCAGUGUCCCCCUCUAGUUUAGAAAUUAUCCAAAAUGGUUUUUUUCUUUUUUGAAAGAAAGGAAUGACGGGGGCAGGGGUGUAUGGAAUAGUUUUCACUAAAAAUAAAAAACAAGUGUUGACAGAUUUCAAAUUUGUUUAUUUUUAGUCAUUUUUCUGACUUUUUUUAAGAGGGAGAGGGUGCUCUAUGCAGGGGCAAUAACAUUGUUUGAGGGACCGAGGGAAGUUUUUGCUUCAACGAGAUGGGUAAGUACGUAUUUGAAAAAGUUUUGACCAGAAAUAAUUUUUUUUACUCAUUUCAAUUUUUGUUCUUUUCUAUUUUUUCCGGUUUUUUUUGGGGGGGGGGGGGUCUGUAUGCAAGGGUAGUAGCAUUGUUUGAGAGGUCGAGGAAAGGUUUUUUGAAUGGAUGGAGGGAGGGAGUGAGUGAUUUGAAAAGAAAUAAACCAGAAAUAAAAAACGUUGAAAGACUUCAGUGUUUUCGAUUUUUUUUAAUCUAAAUUUUUUGGUGAGGGGAUGGGGAGGAGGCUUUAUACAAGGGUGUUGACAUUGUUUGAGGGGCCGAGAAAGGUUUUUUUUGAAAACUUGGUCAUUUAGGCAAAUUCUCACACAGAAACGUUGAAUUUUCAAAAAAAUCUCAUCAGCAACUCUAAAUCAGCGUUUUCAUUUUUCUUGAUUUUUUCCAACUGCAGGGAGGAGAGACUUGAUCCGUGGGACCAACGUUGUUUGAAGGACCGAAGAAAGCUUUUCUUUGAGAAAGGGAUUCUUAAGAAGAAUUCUGACGCAGUAAUCAGAAAUUUUUGGGUAAAUUUGAUUUUUUCAUUUUUUCCCCCAAUUUGAUGAGGGAGUUCUAAUCUAAGUACAAAUUUCUUUGGACUUCGAGAAAAAUAAAAAAAUAAGGAUGAAUCAUGAUAUCCUAAACUUUGAGGGAUGGAAACGCAAUAAAGCGAAACUUGAAGACAAAAGUCCCUCUAUAUACUUCAUUCAAUUUCACUUUUCUGUUUUCUUGCUUAAUUAGGUAAAAUGUUGAUAUUUUUUCACUCUGAUCUUUUUUUAAAAAAUUUUCAUAACCAUACCUCGAUGAACUUGACUUAAGCACCGAAAUUAUUAUGUUAUCUUAUCACUUAUCCUUUCCAAUACAGGUAGGCUAUUUAUUUUUAUUUUGUUUCAGGCGAGUAAGAAUUUUAUCUUCAAGAAUGAUAAAAAAUGCCCCCAAAUAUCUAUACCCGAGUAUCA